AAAACAUGUCUUUUUGAUUUUUUUUUAAAGUCUAGCCUGCCCACUGAAAUUUUUAAAUGGCCGCAGUAUACUGACUGUGCAAAGGUAGCAUAAUCAUUAGUCUUUUAAUUGAAGGCUUGUAUGAAUGGUUGGACGAGAUAUUAACUGUUUCAUAUUAAAUUUAUUGUAAAAUUUUAUUUUUUAGUUAAAAAGCUAAAAUAAAUUUAAAAGACGAGAAGACCCUAUAAAUCUUUAUAUUUAUUGUAUUGUAAUUUUUUAGAAUUUUUUUAUUAUAAUAUUAAUAAAAUAUUUUAUUGGGGUGAUAUUAAAAUUUAAUAAACUUUUAAUUUUAAAAUUCAUUAAUUAAUGAUUAAUUGAUCCGUUUUUAACGAUUAAAAAAUUAAGUUACUUUAGGGAUAACAGCGUAAUUUUUUUGGAGAGUUCAUAUCGAUAAAAAAGAUUGCGACCUCGAUGUUGGAUUAAGAUAUAAUUUUAGGUGUAGUAGCUUAAAUUUUAAGUCUGUUCGACUUUUAAUUUCUUACAG
rnacentral:rRNA from 1 species